UGUUUGUUACUAAUAAUAGGGAUGACCGCAUUGAGUGUGACGUAGUGAUACCUGUAAUCUGAAAAUGUGCUAUAGCAUUUUAUUGUAUUUUAAAAAUAGAAUGUAUUUAGAUCUACUAGGGUUACAAAAUCAUGAAAAUGGACUAAAACGAGUAAAUGAAUUGUUUGCAUUUUUGAAAAUAUUCCUUAUUGUUAUUAAAAUUGGACUAAUUAUUUUUAAUAAUAACACUCAUUCAUUUAAAAAGAUUAAGGAAAGCGAUACUGGAAUUCAUUGGGAACAUUUAUAAUACAUGUUUGUAACCAUGGUAACUAAGGGUCCGUCUCUCUCUACACAUGUUAUCUAUUAGUCACGCCAAUGGUUUACACACUAUUCAGUUCAUUUGAUAGAGGUUUAAGCUGCAAUAGAACAAGUUUAUUCAUUAGGAACAGAAGGAUGAUGCAGAAAAAGUGAUGCCCGGUCCAGUGGUUUUGCCGUGAUGAAGAUUUUGAGAAGUAAGCUAUUAAAGAGUGCCUUUACAAAGAAUCUGUGAUGAAGUGAUUUGGAAAUGCAAUAGAUCAAGAGAAGAAAAAAAAACAGUCCAUAGUGAUCCGGAAACAAAUACAGCUACAAUGUUUCGGACAGUUGACAGUAUCAAUAAAACAAUAAGACCCAUAUACAAUUCCAGAACGCCCCUAAACGCCCAUAUUAUAUAUACGACAUGGGACCCAGAAAGGUCCCACAUGGGUUAUAAGAUCUGGGACCCAUAAGGGACCCACAUUGUUCCCAUAUAGUAUAUCCCAUAUGGGACCCAUGCCAAAAUGCUUUGCAAAACCCAUCUGGGUCCCAUGUGGGUAGCCCAUAUAGUCCGAGAGCUCACGGACUUUUAUUGCAACAAUUGAGGCCAAAAGAAGUUUAUACAUUUUUGGAAACAAUAUUUCAUAUCCUCCAUGAAAACCCAUUUCUUAAGUGUCAAAGCCGUGCCUAUCUAUAUUUUGUUCACUUAUGUUUGUGAUAGGGGAGGUAAAACUCACUUGUAAAAAUUUAGGGGGUAGGGUAAAGUUUACGUCUACCAGUUUUUUCACUGUUUAAUUACAGUAGCUAUCUUAUUGUCAGUAACUGUAUAUAUGUCAACCAAUGUCAGCAAAAAGAAAUUCAUCAAAAAGGAAUGAAGGGCAAACUUGAUAUUUAAGGUUAAAGGUCAAAUUUAUGUACAAAUCACAAAA